GGGGUUGUACUGGUUUCGACGGGGGUUUUGAAGUUGAGGAAGCCAUCUGCGGGCCGGGACCGCAUCAGCAAACCGGACCUUAAAAUUAAACGCAGACGAAAAUUACGCGUUAGCAGCUUAAUUGCUGCUUGUCGGUCUUGAGCUGCUCACCGCUUGAGGUACCGGCAUCAAAUCUGGUGAGGCACUUUUGUUCCAAAGCUUUGCGGAAUAAAAAGAUUUUAUGAAGCUACUAAAGCUGUAAGCCUGUCAUUUGGCGUACAGUGGAGGGAAUGUCAAAGAAAUGACUGUGAUGGGAGAUGCCGCAAUGAAUAGGCUUUCGGACAGGGGUUCGAUUCCCCUCAGCUCCAU
rnacentral:tmRNA from 1 species